rnacentral:rRNA from 1 species
CCUACGGGCGGCUGCAGUGAGGAAUAUUGGUCAAUGGGCGCAAGCCUGAACCAGCCAUCCCGCGUGAAGGAAGAAGGCGCUAUGCGUUGUAAACUUCUUUUCCAGGGGGAGAAUUUUUCCGUCGUGACGGGAAUUGACGGUACUCUGGGAAUAAGCAUCGGCUAACUCCGUGCCAGCAGCCGCGGUAAUACGGAGGAUGCGAGCGUUAUCCGGAUUUAUUGGGUUUAAAGGGUGCGUAGGCGGAUAGAUAAGUCAGUGGUGAAAUUCUGCAGCUUAACUGUAGACUUGCCGUUGAUACUGUCAGUCUUGAGUAUGGUCAAGGCAGGCGGAAUGUGUAAUGUAGCGGUGAAAUGCUUAGAUAUUACACAGAACACCGAUUGCGAAGGCAGCUUGCUGGGCCAUUACUGACGCUGAUGCACGAAAGCGUGGGGAUCGAACAGGAUUAGAUACCCCAGUAGUC